GCCUUGGCCCUGGUGCCCGGGGCCGGGACCUGCCCAGGGCCCUCCGGAGACACUGGGGAGAGUGUAGAGCCACAGGCAGUGGCGGCCACGGGAAGUCCAGCAGCCCCAGAACAGGCCCCGACGGCCCUUGGCCUCAGCAUUCUCGAGCAGAAAUAUGAACAAAAGUAUUUUUUGAGGAAUAUGCCCAGCGAUGCACAUACAUGUUUCAGGAAAAGAUGUGGCAGGGUGAUAGGAAUACCUCUGAAACUAGAUGAGCUGGCCCCCAUUGGCUGUGAGAUGAUGAUUUUAGUGGCAUGUAACAAGGAUCUGUGGGGCACGUGCUACAUUCCAGGUAUUUUUUAUGACUCACCCUCACCAACAGCUCUGCAGGAUGACCCAUUUUACAGAUUGAAAAACAAGGCAAGUCAAGGCUCAGAGAGGUUACAAAACUCAGCCCAGGUCUCAUGUCCUAGCCAUGGUCCCCCAGCUGACUGCAAGAGGCCUUUUCAAGCCUGACCUCUGACAGUCUCUCUCCAGCUGUAGUGGGAAAGAGGAAGCGAAGGGCGGGCCUCAGCAGACUCCUCAUUCCCAUGGAGCUCAUGGCUUUCCCUGGGUCGCUGGCUCAAAUAACAAGCAUCAACCACAGCCAGAGCCACUGCAGGAUGGGGCCGAUCUCGUGCUCCUGGUCUCUGGGCCCGGUGUCUUUGGCGUCUGCCGGGGCCGUGCACUUCCUGGGUGUAGUGUGCCAGCUGGUACCCAGCCCUUGGGGAAGAUAGAAACACCCCAAAGAGCAGAGUCCCCUCUGAUGCUUGCGCGUUCCUUCCAGAGAUGUAAACAACCUCUUCCUGUGUUUUUCU